GCCUGUAUAGCUCAGUGAUUUAGAGCGUCCGUUUUACAUGCGGAGGGCCGGUGGUUUGAAUCCAUCUACAGGCA
rnacentral:tRNA from 1 species